rnacentral:rRNA from 1 species
CCCUUAGAUGUCCUGGGCCGCACGCGCGCUACACUGACAUGUUCAACAAGCCUCCUAGUUCGACAGGAUUUGGGAAAUCUUUGAACGCAUGUCGUGAUAGGGAUAGAUCAUUGCAAUUAUUGAUCUUGAACGAGGAAUUCCUAGUAAACGCGAGUCAUCAGCUCGCAUUGAUUACGUCCCUGCCCUUUGUACACACCGCCCGUCGCACCUACCGAUUGAAUGUUUCGAUGAAGAUUCCGGAUAGGACUUUUUUGAUUUAUUUCAAUUUUGUCUUAAAAGCUAUCUAAACCUCAACAUUUAGAGGAAGGUGAAGUCAUAACA